rnacentral:lncRNA from 1 species
ACCAAACUGUCAGAAUACCUACUUGAAAAUUGGUAAUUUGGGGUCACAGGGCUUAGAGAUAAAACAAGUAAGACUUUAUCUCUGGACCCAAGUUUCUUCCCAACUGAUGCUACUGACUCCUCCUUAUCUCAGCAUCAGCUUCCAUGCAGCAGCUCUCCUCCCAGCUUUAUUCCAUCAGCUCAGCAGUUCUGAUGAUGACGCCUCUUUGACUCCACCUGUGGCGCAGCCUGCCUCCAGCCCUCUCCACUUAGCACUCCGUUCAUAUAGGACUCCUGUUGUCCUAAAGAUUUGGUCAGUCCUUCCAGCUCCCAUUAAUCUGGAUUCCUCCAGAGGGCACAGAUUCCUGCUGGCCAUAUUUCGGAUGUAAUUGGCUCCCCACUAAUCAGCUCUGUAAUCUGAGGACUCACAGUAACCUGUAUACUUCAUUCAAGCUUUGCUGAACUACAAGAAGAGCCAAUUACCUUCUGGCAGCCAUCUUGGAUGAUGAAGUAGCAACCUUGCAGGACGCAAGCCAUGGUCCAGGAUGGCGAGGCAUAAAGAAGGAAGAUGCCUGCAUUCGUGGUGGCACUGUUUGAACGUUCCUCCGUUGGUUGAGCUUCAUUCCAGUUCUUCCCCUUUCGCUGAUUGGUCCAAGAGCAGCGACUGCACGUCCAGUUCCGCCUGUACAGUCUUCUACCUGUCAGCCUCUCGAGCAGAUGUGAGCAGCCGACUUAUCCCCUCACCCCCAAGACCCCUGCUCCUCGUCAUGUUUGAGCAUCCCCAGGUCUUUUGU